rfam:Pseudozyma antarctica T-34 DNA, contig: scaffold00022.
GGUUGCUUCGUCCAGUGGUAGGAUACCUCUUUCGGGCAAAACCCGGUGUGAUACACACCAGAUCAAAAGAGGCUCUGUAAUAGAGGUGGUCGCGGGUUCGAAUCCCGCAGUGACCC